rnacentral:tRNA from 1 species
CGGGGCGUAGCGCAGCCUGGUAGCGUACAUGUAUGGGGUGCAUGUGGUCGGAGGUUCAAAUCCUCUCGCCCCGACCA